rnacentral:rRNA from 3 species
ACCCUUUAAUGUUUGAUGUUCUAACGUGGACCCGUAAUCCGGGUUGCGGACAGUGUCUGGUGGGUAGUUUGACUGGGGCGGUCUCCUCCUAAAGAGUAACGGAGGAGCACGAAGGUUGGCUAAUCCUGGUCGGACAUCAGGAGGUUAGUGCAAUGGCAUAAGCCAGCUUGACUGCGAGCGUGACGGCGCGAGCAGGUGCGAAAGCAGGUCAUAGUGAUCCGGUGGUUCUGAAUGGAAGGGCCAUCGCUCAACGGAUAAAAGGUACUCCGGGGAUAACAGGCUGAUACCGCCCAAGAGUUCAUAUCGACGGCGGUGUUUGGCACCUCGAUGUCGGCUCAUCACAUCCUGGGGCUGAAGUAGGUCCCAAGGGUAUGGCUGUUCGCCAUUUAAAGUGGUACGCGAGCUGGGUUUAGAACGUCGUGAGACAGUUCGGUCCCUAUCUGCCGUGGGCGCUGGAGAACUGAGGGGGGCUGCUCCUAGUACGAGAGGACCGGAGUGGACGCAUCACUGGUGUUCGGGUUGUCAUGCCAAUGGCACUGCCCGGUAGCUAAAUGCGGAAGAGAUAAGUGCUGAAAGCA